UUCGGCGAUGGGGAUGGAGUUCCCCCGAAACCGCCCGCCGGUCGCCAUUCCGGUCGGCUGAUGACUCCUACCGCACG
rnacentral:ncRNA from 2 species